UAAGUGUACAGUUCAGUGGUAUGAAUAUAUUCACAAUGUUGUGUAACCAUCAUCACCAUCCAUCUCCAUAACUCAUUUCAUCCUGCAAAACGGAAACUCUGUACACAUUAAACAAUAACUCUCCCUUCCCCUUUCUCCUCCAGCCCCGACAUCCACUAUUCUACUUUCUGCCUCUAUGAUUUAGACUACAGGUAUCUCGUAUAAGUGAAAUCAUACAAUGUUUGCCUUUUGGGGCUGGUUUAUUUCACUCAGCAUGAUGCUUUCAUGGUUCAUCCAGGUUGCAGUAAGUACCAGGAUUUCCUUCCUUUUUAAGACUGGAUAAUAUUUCAUUGUAUGAUAUACCACAUUUUGCUUAUCCAUUCAUUUGUUGAUAGACACUUUUGUUUCUUCUGUGUUUUAGCUAUUGUGCAUUAAUGCUGGUAUGAACAGGAGUGUACAAUGGAAAGAACCCGCUUCCAAUUAUGUUGAAUAGAUACCCUGAAGUGGAAUUGCUGGUUUGCAUGGUGAAGACCUCCCUCCUGUGACCUCAGCCCUCCUCCUUCCCUGUGCUUCUCCACACCACCUGCCUUCGCACACAGGAAUCCAGAUUUUUCUGUCUCGACUUCUCUGAGAGAAGAUUGCAGUGUCUCCUGGCACACCAGGGGGAAUGUAGCAGAACAGGAGGAGUGAACUUCAGUACUGUAAUCAGGCUGGUACUCUUAACACCAGCUUUGCACCUUGGUGGCAGCAUGAGCACUUUAGUUAGAGUCCCAAGUUAGACUCUAGUUAGAUGUCUCAGCCAUCCCCCCUCUCUCUCUCACAUGGUGGCUGUCUUUAUUGAGGGGUUAGGGAAAUUCUCCUAAGAAAUAUAAAGCCCUUCUGGGGUCACCUUCUAAAAACCAUCCAGAAGUGGGUGAGCCUAUCCUUGGGACUUCUUUCUUCACUCAGUUGGCUCCUGCUCCUUCAAGAAUUUUUGGGGACAGGAUGAAAGAACUCAAGGCUCCGGGUUUACCCACCACAACUUUGUAACCUCGCUUUUGCCAUAAUGGUCUUCUUAUGCCUCCACUAUGAAAUGACCAGGACUCUCAUGUUUUUUUCUCCUCUCAUUUCUCCUUUUUUCUCUUCAGUAUAAUCUCUCUUUAUUGAGAACUUACUGUAUGCUAGGAACUAUGCUAUAUACCCAUACUACAUCUCAUUUAAUUCUUACAUAUCCCUGUGAAAGAGGUAGUCAUAUGAAUACCAUUUUAUAUGUGAGAAAACCAAGGCAUAGAAUAGUUAAACAAAUUGUCCGGGAUCUUCUAGUUAAACACUGGCAGAGUCAAGAUUUAGGCUCAGGUCUUUUUGAUGCCCAGACAUAUAUACUUUACCUUUAAAAGUGUGGCUCAUGGAUGCUUGGAGUUUCCUAGGUCCUUUACAGGGUUCUGUGAGAUCAAAACCAUUUUCAUGAUGCUAUUUGCCUUUUUCACUGUGUUGACAUUUACACUGAAGGCACACCGUCAACGAUGGGUAAAACUUUAGGCUGCUUAGCCCAAAUCAAGGCUGUGGCACCAAACUGUAAUACUGAACAUUAUAUUUUUUACUAGAACAUACUUGCAGAAUAAAAAAAAAAAUCACUCUUACUCAAGAGUGUCCUGAUGUGGCAGUAAAAAUAUUAAUUUUCUUAAAUGUUGACCUUUGAGUACAUGCCUAUUUAAUAUUCUGUGUAAUAAAAUGGGAAGUAUGCAAAAACAAUUUGUGCUCAAUAUGUUCGCCUUGAGGAAAAGUACACGUGCAUUUGAGUUGCAAGCUGAACUAGCCACUUUCUUAAUAAAAUACCCGUUUACUUGAAAGAAUGAGUGACAAUUUAUGACUAACCAGACUUCAGUAUUUGGAAAAUAUUUUCUUACAGAUGAACAAAGUGAGACUGUCAUUUCAAGGAAAAUGACUGACAGUAUUUGUUGCCAUAGAUAAGACUGAAGUUUUUAAGCAUAUUAGAAUUUGUGAAAAUUUGUAUUCAUAUUGUAUCAGUCAUGGUCUAGUCAGGAGAGAAAAACCACCUUGCAUUUAAAUAGGGAAAGUUUAGCAUAAACAAUGAACUAUUUGUAAGAACAAAAGAGAAUUCUAAAGAGUACCCUAAGACUAAGGGAGAGUUCCAAUAAAGGAAGAAAUUUGGGUAGGGGCUGGGAAUUAGACUUCAUUGGAGUUGGUAUCAUGGUAGCCCCCUGCAUGACGGGAAGCUACUCUGGGCCAAAGCCCAUCCACAGUCAGUAGGCCAGGCCUGGCAGACGGGAAACUGCUUGUGAUGGUCAAUGGAAUUUGCUGGAAGCUGUCAUGGAGGCUGGUGAACAUGCUGGGAAGCCCAGCUGUGGCACACACAGCGUUUACCAAGAAGCCCUUCUGUGGUCCUAAGAGGCUGCCCCCAGGGAGGAGCUGCAAUGGUGGGUGAACUUUCCAUAAAGCCACUCUCCAUGGUGCCAAGGAAAGCUGGUAAUGGGGAGAUGCCAACUCCAAUGAACAUGACAUUACUUAGUAUCCCAUGCACUGCUGGGUACCAUGCACCAAGGAGCAAGCUGAGAAGAUCACUGGAAGCAGGAAGAAAAGCCUUUCCUCCUCCAGUGUUCUUCCAGUGCUGUCUACUGACAAAAGUCCCAAUUGGCCAGUAAGAAACAUUCCAGUAUUACAAGCAGGAAUGAAGGUAGCCUUGGAGCUAAGCAGCAAUAAUUUGAUGGCUGGCAUAGCCUACCCUUUUGUUUACACAACUUCUGCACACACUUGAACUUCUGUUUGACACUGAAACAACUGUCUUUCUACCUAAUGAGUUAUAGCUAUCCUUUGAACUAGUGAAAUGCUCAUCCUUUUCCUAAACAGAUGUAUAGUCUCAAGAGUUACUGUAUCCAUUGCUGGGUAUAUUAACAUCUCCUUAAAUUUAGCCAUGGUACUACUAAAUAACACCUAAACAGAACAUUGUAAAGUUAAUCUUCAACAACUUGUGUGUAAAAUGAUGAUGAGGGGCCUG